UACAGAGGUCUCGAGCGUUAGGCGGAAUCACUGGGCUUAAAGCGUGUGUAGGCGGAUCGGUAAGUACCUUGUGAAAUCCCACAGCUUAACUGUGGAACUGCUUGGUAUACUGCCAGUCUUGAGCCAGCUAGGGGCUACCGGAACAAAUGGUGGAGCGGUGAAAUGCGUAGAUAUCAUUUGGAACGCCAAUGGUGAAAACAGGUAGCUGGGGCUGUGCUGACGCUGAGACACGAAA
rnacentral:rRNA from 1 species